ensembl:snoRNA SNORD83 Small nucleolar RNA SNORD83
CCUAAAUGAUGUGUAGUUGGUACAGGAGCACGUGCGUGCAAGGACGACUCCUAAUCUAUCACCCGUGACUGAUGGCU